rnacentral:rRNA from 1 species
CGGCAGCACGGAGCUUGCUCUGGUGGCGAGUGGCGAACGGGUGAGUAAUAUAUCGGAACGUAACCCUAAGAAGUGGGGGGGAUAAACGUCGACGAAAAGAUUACGCUCAAUACCGCAUACGAUCUAAGGAUGAAAGUGGGGGAUCGCAAGACCUCAUGCUCGUGGAGCGGCCGAUAUCUGAUUAGCUAGUUGGUAGGGUAAAAGCCUACCAAGGCAUCGAUCAGUAGCUGGUCUGAGAGGACGACCAGCCACACUGGAACUGAGACACGGUCCAGACUC